CAAUAGCGUAUAUUAAAGUUGUUGCAGUUAAAUAGCUCGUAGUUGGAUUUCGGGAUGGCCCGGCCGGUCUGCCGCAAGGUAUGUUACUGGCCGAGCUGUUCUUCUUCGCAAAGACUGUGUGUGCUCUUAACUGAGUGUGCUCAGGAUCUGUGACGUUUACUUUGAAAAAAUUAGAGUGUUCAAAGCAAGCCAGCGCUUGAAUACAUAAGCAUGGAAUAAUGGAAUAGGACUUUGGUUCUAUUUUGUUGGCUUCUGGAACCUUAGUAAUGAUUAAGAGAGACAGUUGGGGGCAUUCGUAUUUCGUUGUCAGAGGUGAAAUUCUUGGAUUUACGAAAGACGAACUACUGCGAAAGCAUUUGCCAAGAAUGUUUUCAUUAA
rnacentral:rRNA from 1 species